UUGAGGCAAGACCAUCAUGAAACACCAGC
rnacentral:piRNA from 1 species